CGCGUAGGCUGUUGAGUAAGUCAAAUGUGAAAUCCCCGGGGCUUAACCUGGGAACUGCAUUCGAUACUGCUUAACUAGAGUAUGGUAGAGGGAAGUGGAAUUCCGGGUGUAGCGGUGAAAUGCGUAGAUAUCCGGAGGAACACCAGUGGCGAAGGCGACUUCCUGGGCCAAUACUGACGCUGAGGUGCGAAAGCGUGGGGAGCAAACA
rnacentral:rRNA from 1 species